rnacentral:pre_miRNA from 1 species
CAGCAAAGGGGCUCAGAAAGCAGAGCUCUGGGCUUCUCCCCCAUGGCCUGGUCCCUCUCCUCCUCACCCUUCUCACUCAGUAUGUAGGUGA